GAGCCAGUGUAGUGGUGAGGGUGUCGGACUAGGACCUGGAGGAGAACUGGGUUCGAAUCCCAUUUGGCUCA